rnacentral:rRNA from 1 species
AGUGAACGCUGGCGGUAGGCCUAACACAUGCAAGUCGAACGGCAGCACAGUAAGAGCUUGCUCUUACGGGUGGCGAGUGGCGGACGGGUGAGGAAUACAUCGGAAUCUACUUUUUCGUGGGGGAUAACGUAGGGAAACUUACGCUAAUACCGCAUACGACCUACGGGUGAAAGCAGGGGAUCUUCGGACCUUGCGCGAUUGAAUGAGCCGAUGUCGGAUUAGCUAGUUGGCGGGGUAAAGGCCCACCAAGGCGACGAUCCGUAGCUGGUCUGAGAGGAUGAUCAGCCACACUGGAACUGAGACACGGUCCAGACUACUACGGGAGGCAGCAGAGGGGAAUAUUGGACAAGGGGCGCAAGCCUGAUCCAGCCAGACCGCGUGGGUGAAGAAGGCCUUCGGGUUGUAAAGCCCUUUUGUUGGGAAAGAAAAGCAGCAGGUUAAUACCCCGCUGUUCUGACGGUACCCAAAGAAUAAGCACCGGCUAACUUCGUG